GGAACCUAGAGUGAUAAGCUCAAGCAAGAAAAGGAGAAAAUAGCAAGUCAAGUCAAGGCCACUCAAAGAAAAGAGAAUGGCUUUCCAGUCACAAAAUCUGUCAUUGGACAUGCCAGUUCAAAAGGGACUCACAGAGAAUUGAUACCCAAGAUAAGGAAGGAGAUAGUGAGAGAUGCCCUUUCUGCUCUGGAUGAAUCAAUUGACCUGGAAUGUGGUGGCUGCAGUUUACCUGGAUUUUAGCAAAGGUUUUGACAAAGUGGCUUAUGCUAUUCUUAUGGAGCAGAUGGAGAGGGAGCUACCUCACCUGACUCAACUCAUUACCCAUUGGAGCACCCCUGGUGAAUAGACACAG